CCUACGGGUGGCAGCAGUGGGGAAUAUUGCACAAUGGGGGAAACCCUGAUGCAGCGACGCCGCGUGAGCGAAGAAGUAUUUCGGUAUGUAAAGCUCUAUCAGCAGGGAAGAAAAUUACGGUACCUGAGUCCGAAGCUCCGGCUAAAUACGUUCCAGCAGCCGCGGUACUACGUAUGGAGCAAGCGUUAUCCGGAUUUACUGGGCGUAAGGGGAGCGUAGGCGGCCUGCCAAGUCUGAUGUGAAAUUCCGGGGCGCAACCCCGGGGCUGCAUUGGAAACUGGCAGGCUGGAGUGCCGGAGAGGCAGGCGGAAUUCCUAGUGUAGCGGUGAAAUGCGUAGAUAUUAGGAGGAACACCAGUGGCGAAGGCGGCCUGCUGGACGGUGACUGACGCUGAGGCUCGAAAGCGUGGGGAGCAAACAGGAUUAGAUACCCGAGUAGUC
rnacentral:rRNA from 1 species